AGAGUUUGAUCAUGGCUCAGGAUGAACGCUAGCUACAGGCUUAACACAUGCAAGUCGAGGGGCAGCAUGGUCUUAGCUUGCUAAGGCCGAUGGCGACCGGCGCACGGGUGAGUAACACGUAUCCAACCUGCCGUCUACUCUUGGACAGCCUUCUGAAAGGAAGAUUAAUACAAGAUGGCAUCAUGAGUCCGCAUGUUCACAUGAUUAAAGGUAUUCCGGUAGACGAUGGGGAUGCGUUCCAUUAGAUAGUAGGCGGGGUAACGGCCCACCUAGUCUUCGAUGGAUAGGGGUUCUGAGAGGAAGGUCCCCCACAUUGGAACUGAGACACGGUCCAAACUCCUACGGGAGGCAGCAGUGAGGAAUAUUGGUCAAUGGGCGAGAGCCUGAACCAGCCAAGUAGCGUGAAGGAUGACUGCCCUAUGGGUUGUAAACUUCUUUUAUAAAGGAAUAAAGUCGGGUAUGCAUACCCGUUUGCAUGUACUUUAUGAAUAAGGAUCGGCUAACUCCGUGCCAGCAGCCGCGGUAAUACGGAGGAUCCGAGCGUUAUCCGGAUUUAUUGGGUUUAAAGGGAGCGUAGAUGGAUGUUUAAGUCAGUUGUGAAAGUUUGCGGCUCAACCGUAAAAUUGCAGUUGAUACUGGAUAUCUUGAGUGCAGUUGAGGCAGGCGGAAUUCGUGGUGUAGCGGUGAAAUGCUUAGAUAUCACGAAGAACUCCGAUUGCGAAGGCAGCCUGCUAAGCUGCAACUGACAUUGAGGCUCGAAAGUGUGGGUAUCAAACAGGAUUAGAUACCCUGGUAGUCCACACGGUAAACGAUGAAUACUCGCUGUUUGCGAUAUACAGCAAGCGGCCAAGCGAAAGCGUUAAGUAUUCCACCUGGGGAGUACGCCGGCAACGGUGAAACUCAAAGGAAUUGACGGGGGCCCGCACAAGCGGAGGAACAUGUGGUUUAAUUCGAUGAUACGCGAGGAACCUUACCCGGGCUUAAAUUGCAGAUGAAUUACGGUGAAAGCCGUAAGCCGCAAGGCAUCUGUGAAGGUGCUGCAUGGUUGUCGUCAGCUCGUGCCGUGAGGUGUCGGCUUAAGUGCCAUAACGAGCGCAACCCUUGUUGUCAGUUACUAACAGGUUCCGCCGAGGACUCUGACAAGACUGCCAUCGUAAGAUGUGAGGAAGGUGGGGAUGACGUCAAAUCAGCACGGCCCUUACGUCCGGGGCUACACACGUGUUACAAUGGGGGGUACAGAGGGCCGCUACCACGCGAGUGGAUGCCAAUCCCAAAAACCUCUCUCAGUUCGGACUGGAGUCUGCAACCCGACUCCACGAAGCUGGAUUCGCUAGUAAUCGCGCAUCAGCCACGGCGCGGUGAAUACGUUCCCGGGCCUUGUACACACCGCCCGUCAAGCCGUGGGAGCCGGGGGUACCUGAAGUGCGUAACCGCGAGGAGCGCCCUAGGGUAGAACCGGUGACUGGGGCUAAGUCGUAACAAGGUA
rnacentral:rRNA from 1 species